AAAAAAAAAAAAAAAAAGGUAAGAGUACUUAGCUUCAUCAACAUAAUCAUUUGCUUUAAUGAGCUUCUAAUAGUAUCUAACAAAGCAUGAUGAUUCUUGCUUAAUAAAUUUAAUUUCUUUCUUUAUGUUGUUCAUGUACCAAAACCUAGCCAUUUGCAAGGAAAACUUGUGCAUCGAAACGAAGGAUUAAGAUGAUAUUAGUUACGAAUGAGAGCCAGCAAGCAUUGUGGUUAAACCAUUUUAAACGAUCAGCUAAAACUUUUGUUGACUAAAUAAAGAAAGAAGAGGAUUUCAAAUCCAUGUGUUGAUUGCAUUUCAUAUAAUAAUACUGGAUUGGUAACUUAAGUACACCAUGAUUGACAUUAGUACUAAAAAAAAAGCUUAAUUUGUCA
rnacentral:misc_RNA from 1 species